rnacentral:rRNA from 3 species
GGUUAAGCGACUAAGCGUACACGGUGGAUGCCCUGGCAGUCAGAGGCGAUGAAGGGCGUGCUAAUCUGCGAUAAGCGCCGGUAAGGUGAUAUGAACCGUUAUAACCGGCGAUACCCGAAUGGGGAAACCCAGUGUGACUCGUCACACUAUCAUUAACUGAAUCCAUAGGUUAAUGAGGCGAACCGGGGGAACUGAAACAUCUAAGUACCCCGAGGAAAAGAAAUCAACCGAGAUUCCCCCAGUAGCGGCGAGCGAACGGGGAGGAGCCCAGAGCCUGAAUCAGCAUGUGUGUUAGUGGAAGCGUCUGGAAAGGCGCGCGAUACAGGGUGACAGCCCCGUACACAAAAGCGCAUGUGCUGUGAGCUCGAUGAGUAGGGCGGGACACGUGGUAUCCUGUCUGAAUAUGGGGGGACCAUCCUCCAAGGCUAAAUACUCCUGACUGACCGAUAGUGAACCAGUACCGUGAGGGAAAGGCGAAAAGAACCCCGGCGAGGGGAGUGAAAAAGAACCUGAAACCGUGUACGUACAAGCAGUGGGAGCCCCACCACUAAGCCAGUGGUGAACUCCACAUACGCAUCCUUUGCUGAGGAUGCGGUUAACGGAGCGAAAGCGACGUUCAACCGCAAAAGAAGCAGAGGGGGCUUAGUGGUGGGGUGACUGCGUACCUUUUGUAUAAUGGGUCAGCGACUUAUAUUCUGUAGCAAGGUUAACCGAAUAGGGGAGCCGGAGGGAAACCGAGUCUUAACCGGGCGUUAAGUUGCAGGGUAUAGACCCGAAACCCGGUGAUCUAGCCAUGGGCAGGUUGAAGGUUGGGUAACACUAACUGGAGGACCGAACCGACUAAUGUUGAAAAAUUAGCGGAUGACCUGUGGCUGGGGGUGAAAGGCCAAUCAAACCGGGAGAUAGCUGGUUCUCCCCGAAAGCUAUUUAGGUAGCGCCUCGUGAAUUCAUCUCCGGGGGUAGAGCACUGUUUCGGCUAGGGGGCCAUCCCGGCUUACCAACCCGAUGCAAACUGCGAAUACCGGAGAAUGUUAUCACGGGAGACACACGGCGGGUGCUAACGUCCGUCGUGAAGAGGGAAACAACCCAGACCGCCAGCUAAGGUCCCAAAGUCAUGGUUAAGUGGGAAACGAUGUGGGAAGGCCCAGACAGCCAGGAUGUUGGCUUAGAAGCAGCCAUCAUUUAAAGAAAGCGUAAUAGCUCACUGGUCGAGUCGGCCUGCGCGGAAGAUGUAACGGGGCUAAACCAUGCACCGAAGCUGCGGCAGCGACGCUGAUGCGUUGUUGGGUAGGGGAGCGUUCUGUAAGCCUGCGAAGGUGUGUCGUGAGGCAUGCUGGAGGUAUCAGAAGUGCGAAUGCUGACAUAAGUAACGAUAAAGCGGGUGAAAAGCCCGCUCGCCGGAAGACCAAGGGUUCCUGUCCAACGUUAAUCGGGGCAGGGUGAGUCGACCCCUAAGGCGAGGCCGAAAGGCGUAGUCGAUGGGAAACGGGUUAAUAUUCCCGUACUUGGUGUUACUGCGAAGGGGGGACGGAGAAGGCUAUGUUGGCCGGGCGACGGUUGUCCCGGUUUAAGCGUGUAGGUGUGUGUUCCAGGUAAAUCCGGUUCACUUUAACACUGAGGCGUGAUGACGAGGCACUACGGUGCUGAAGCAACAAAUGCCCUGCUUCCAGGAAAAGCCUCUAAGCAUCAGGUAACAUCAAAUCGUACCCCAAACCGACACAGGUGGUCAGGUAGAGAAUACCAAGGCGCUUGAGAGAACUCGGGUGAAGGAACUAGGCAAAAUGGUGCCGUAACUUCGGGAGAAGGCACGCUGACAUGUAGGUGAAGUGAUUUACUCAUGGAGCUGAAGUCAGUCGAAGAUACCAGCUGGCUGCAACUGUUUAUUAAAAACACAGCACUGUGCAAACACGAAAGUGGACGUAUACGGUGUGACGCCUGCCCGGUGCCGGAAGGUUAAUUGAUGGGGUCAGCGCAAGCGAAGCUCCUGAUCGAAGCCCCGGUAAACGGCGGCCGUAACUAUAACGGUCCUAAGGUAGCGAAAUUCCUUGUCGGGUAAGUUCCGACCUGCACGAAUGGCGUAAUGAUGGCCAGGCUGUCUCCACCCGAGACUCAGUGAAAUUGAACUCGCUGUGAAGAUGCAGUGUACCCGCGGCAAGACGGAAAGACCCCGUGAACCUUUACUAUAGCUUGACACUGAACAUUGAGCCUUGAUGUGUAGGAUAGGUGGGAGGCUUUGAAGUGUGGACGCCAGUCUGCAUGGAGCCGACCUUGAAAUACCACCCUUUAAUGUUUGAUGUUCUAACGUGGACCCGUGAUCCGGGUUGCGGACAGUGUCUGGUGGGUAGUUUGACUGGGGCGGUCUCCUCCUAAAGAGUAACGGAGGAGCACGAAGGUUGGCUAAUCCUGGUCGGACAUCAGGAGGUUAGUGCAAUGGCAUAAGCCAGCUUGACUGCGAGCGUGACGGCGCGAGCAGGUGCGAAAGCAGGUCAUAGUGAUCCGGUGGUUCUGAAUGGAAGGGCCAUCGCUCAACGGAUAAAAGGUACUCCGGGGAUAACAGGCUGAUACCGCCCAAGAGUUCAUAUCGACGGCGGUGUUUGGCACCUCGAUGUCGGCUCAUCACAUCCUGGGGCUGAAGUAGGUCCCAAGGGUAUGGCUGUUCGCCAUUUAAAGUGGUACGCGAGCUGGGUUUAGAACGUCGUGAGACAGUUCGGUCCCUAUCUGCCGUGGGCGCUGGAGAACUGAGGGGGGCUGCUCCUAGUACGAGAGGACCGGAGUGGACGCAUCACUGGUGUUCGGGUUGUCAUGCCAAUGGCACUGCCCGGUAGCUAAAUGCGGAAGAGAUAAGUGCUGAAAGCAUCUAAGCACGAAACUUGCCCCGAGAUGAGUUCUCCCUGAGACUUUAGGUCUCCUGAAGGAACGUUGAAGACGACGACGUUGAUAGGCCGGGUGUGUAAGCGCAGCGAUGCGUUGAGCUAACCGGUACUAAUGAACCGUGAGGCUUAACCUU